rnacentral:rRNA from 1 species
CUGAAACCGUGUACGUACAAGCAGUGGGAGCACGCUUAGGCGUGUGACUGCGUACCUUUUGUAUAAUGGGUCAGCGACUUAUAUUCUGUAGCAAGGUUAACCGAAUAGGGGAGCCGAAGGGAAACCGAGUCUUAACUGGGCGUUAAGUUGCAGGGUAUAGACCCGAAACCCGGUGAUCUAGCCAUGGGCAGGUUGAAGGUUGGGUAACACUAACUGGAGGACCGAACCGACUAAUGUUGAAAAAUUAGCGGAUGACUUGUGGCUGGGGGUGAAAGGCCAAUCAAACCGGGAGAUAGCUGGUUCUCCCCGAAAGCUAUUUAGGUAGCGCCUCGUGAAUUCAUCUCCGGGGGUAGAGCACUGUUUCGGCAAGGGGGUCAUCCCGACUUACCAACCCGAUGCAAACUGCGAAUACCGGAGAAUGUUAUCACGGGAGACACACGGCGGGUGCUAACGUCCGUCGUGAAGAGGGAAACAACCCAGACCGCCAGCUAAGGUCCCAAAGUCAUGGUUAAGUGGGAAACGAUGUGGGAAGGCCCAGACAGCCAGGAUGUUGGCUUAGAAGCAGCCAUCAUUUAAAGAAAGCGUAAUAGCUCACUGGUCGAGUCGGCCUGCGCGGAAGAUGUAACGGGGCUAAACCAUGCACCGAAGCUGCGGCAGCGACGCUUAUGCGUUGUUGGGUAGGGGAGCGUUCUGUAAGCCUGCGAAGGUGUGCUGUGAGGCAUGCUGGAGGUAUCAGAAGUGCGAAUGCUGACAUAAGUAACGAUAAAGCGGGUGAAAAGCCCGCUCGCCGGAAGACCAAGGGUUCCUGUCCAACGUUAAUCGGGGCAGGGUGAGUCGACCCCUAAGGCGAGGCCGAAAGGCGUAGUCGAUGGGAAACAG